UCAACCAGGGGCGGAGCGUGGGGGUGGCUUACUGGGCUUAAGCCCGGGUUGUUUUUUCAGAAGCCCGGGGUCUUUUGGAGUGUCAUUUUUUCAUAGUUGGAUGCCUGGCUGACAACUGUAUAAAACAAAAAACUACACACAAUAUUCGAAGCACGUAGUGCACACUGUGGGAAUUUACGACUGUGCGUAAAUCCCCCCUAAUAUUGGUAUGAUCCGAGCUCAGGCACUAAGCGACUGAGCGAGGGGGCGGGGCAGCUGCUGCCUGCGAGUGCGCUGAGAGAAACGGAGCCAGCCAGACAGAGGAGAACUGAAGUUUGAGCAGCACAGAGAGGGAGAGAGAGGAGCAGAGAGGGGGAGAGAGGAGCAGAGAGGGAGAGAGAGGAACAGAGAGGGAGAUGGAGAAUGAGGACAGAACAGAGAUGGAACAAGAGCAGCUGUUUCGCAGGCCUGUGAGGGAGAGUCAGCUCCCCUGUCUGUGACCUGUCUGUGACCUGUCUGUGACCUGUCUGUGGGCUCAGGGGUGGUGAAACUCAGUGUGCUGCUCUCUGUUCUUGGCACUGAAACAAAGACCUCCAGAGGAACCACGCCUGGCGAGCAGCCCAAAGGAAUAAGUGCAGAGACCCAAAAGGAAUUUGUAUCAGCUCAGUUUCAGUUUCACAAAAGAGAUCAACGUCAUGACUCACACUGUGUUCACUGAACCAGUGGAGUGUAGGAGGGCUCAGAGGAUGUAACCACACACAGGCUGACUGAGGAACCAGGAAUAAACUGCUUCACUGAACCUCUGCAGAGCAGGUUUUUAUGUUAACAAUCACAACACAAUUUAUUGACUUAAAAAAUAUGAAAUUGUUUUAAACAUGACUAAAUGAUUUUGUGACUUCUUUCAAUAAAUAACCAAAAGCUGUGCCUGC
ensembl:lncRNA